UAUAAAGUGGCGAACGGCUGAGUAACACGUGGGCAACCUGCCCUUUGCACUGGGAUAGCCUCGGGAAACCGAGGUUAAUACCGGAUACUCCAUAUUUGUCGCAUGGCGAAUAUGGGAAAGCUCCGGCGGCAAAGGAUGGGCCCGCGGCCUGUUAGCUAGUUGGUGGGGUAGUGGCCUACCAAGGCAAUGAUGGGUAGCCGGGUUGAGAGACCGACCGGCCAGAUUGGGACUGAGACACGGCCCAGACUCCUACGGGAGGCAGCAGUG
rnacentral:rRNA from 1 species